AGAUAAUUUAACAAAAACCCUAUGAAGAAAACACACGGCUCCCAAGAAUCAAAUCGGAGUGGUUUACAUCACUCAGCCAAUCACAGAUCAAAUUGGUUUUCAAGAUGCAAAUUCAUCCGAACAUCCUUUUUUAAAACAUGAAUGUGCCCAAUUCUGAAAAAUUUCACAGCAACUAGCUCAGUCGCUUGAUGUAGCAAAUUUGAUCAAAUUAAUUUGCAAAAUUCAAUUUGCCUAGUUCAACCUAGCGAGACUGAGCCACUAGAUGUGAAUUUGCCACAAUGGAAUAAAACGUGCUUUAUUUAUUA